CCAUGGUGCUUCCCCCUCCCUCUGCUCUCAGGCUGGGAUACCCACUGGCUCAUCCCAACCAGAAGCCUAAGGGUCUGCAGGUCAGCCUUGGUCUGAUCCCAGGUGGGCUCACCUGGGCUGGCUGAGCUAGGCUGGACUAGAGCCUUAGGGUCUAAGGCAGGUCUGCUCCACUUGGUUGAAUAUCUGGACCCAGGAUGGAAGGAGGCUCCUCUCGUGGCAUAGAGUGGCCAGUUCAGGAGGCCAAGUCAGAAUAGACAAACACACUUGCGCUUCUGUGUCCUGCCAGCUAACAUUUCACUGGGUGAAUUUUGAGAUGUUUUGCUCUCCGAGGCCUGCCAGAAGUUGCUGCAUAGAAAGGAAAUCUGAUUUCCGGAAAGAUCUCUCUCUCUCCUCCACGCCCUUGCAACAUGUCAUAUGGCCCUGAAAGAAGAAAGGUCCUCAGCCCACCAGGGGAAGUUUAGUGUAGGCCCAGAAUGAGAAGUCUUUAGGGGCAACUUGAAGCCAUGGCUCCUUGUUCUCCCAAAACUGGGAACACGUUUUACCUACGAGGGCAGAAUACAAUCAAGUCUCCAUCUCUGUAGAUGGACAGCAGCACACACUUACCAACCAAUAAGGAAUCUAUGAAAAUGA